GCUGUAGUUUCGUGGCAGAGCAUCUGCUUGGUAUGCAAAAGAAUCCAGGUUCAAUCCCCAGCAUAACCA
rnacentral:tRNA from 1 species